rnacentral:rRNA from 1 species
GACGAACGCUGGCGGCGUGCUUAACACAUGCAAGUCGAACGGAAAGGCCCUGCUUUUGUUGGGUGCUCGAGUGGCGAACGGGUGAGUAACACGUGAGUAACCUUCCCUUUACUUUGGGAUAACUUCAGGAAACUGUGGCUAAUACCGGAUAUUAGCUCCUGCUGCAUGGUGGGGGUUGGAAAGUUUCGGCGGUUGGGGAUGGACUCGCGGCUUAUCAGCUUGUUGGUGGGGUAGUGGCUUACCAAGGCUUUGACGGGUAGCCGGCCUGAGAGGGUGACCGGCCACAUUGGGACUGAGAUACGGCCCAGACUCCUACGGGAGGCAGCAGUGGGGAAUAUUGCACAAUGGGCGGAAGCCUGAUGCAGCAACGCCGCGUGCGGGAUGACGGCCUUCGGGUUGUAAACCGCUUUCGCCUGUGACGAAGCGUGAGUGACGGUAAUGGGUAAAGAAGCACCGGCUAACUACGUG